rnacentral:rRNA from 1 species
CCUUCGGGUUGUAAAAUCCUGUCACAAGUUAAGAAAGACAAGGCUCGCCAAUAACGACCUUGUCUGACGAACUUGAGAGGAAGCCACGGCUAAACUCGUGCCAGCAGCCGCGGUAAGACGAGUGUGGCAAGCGUUGUUCGGAAUUACUGGGCAUAAAGAGCACGUAGGCGGUUUUGUAAGUCAGAUGUGAAAGCCCUCGGCUCAACCGAGGAAUUGCAUCCGAAACUACAGGACUAGAAUCAAGGAGGGGAGAGUGGAAUUCCUGGUGGAGUGGUGAAAUACGUAGAUAUCAGGAGGAACGCCGGCGGCGAAAGCGACUCUCUGGUCUUGUGUUGACGCUGAGGUGCGAAAGCUAGGGGAGCGAAGAGGAUUAGAUACCCUUGUAGUCCUAGCCGUAAACGAUGGGCACUAGAUUGAGGGGCGUUCCGAUGCGUCUCUCAGUCGCAGUUAAUGCGUUAAGUGCCUCGCCUGGGGAGUACGGUCGCAAGACUAAAACUCAAAGGAAUUGACGGGGACUCACACAAGCGGUGGAGCAUGUUGCUCAAUUCGAGGCUACGCGAAGAACCUUACCUGGGCUU